rnacentral:rRNA from 1 species
GAUGCACGCUGGCGGCAUGCCUAAUACAUGCAAGUCGAACGAGAGGAAGGAAAGCUUGCUUUCCUGAAUCUAGUGGCGAACGGGUGAGUAACACGUAGGCAACCUGCCCAUGUGCCCGGGAUAACUUCUGGAAACGGAUGCUAAAACCGGAUAGGUAGCAGACAACCAUUUGACGGCUAUUAAAGUGGCCUUGGCCAUGAACAUGGAUGGACCUGCGGUGAAGUAGCUAGUUGGUGAGGUAACGGCCCACCAAGGCGACGAUGCAGAGGCGGCCUGAGAGGGCGGACGGCCACAGUGGGACUGAGACGCGGCCCAAACUCCUACGGGAGGCAGCAGUAGGGAAUUUUCGUCAAUGGGGGGAACCCUGAACGAGCAAUGCCGCGUGAGUGAGGAAGGUCUUCGGAUCGUAAAGCUCUGUUGUAAGAGAAAAACGGCACUCAUAGGGAAUGAUGAGUGAGUGAUGGUAUCUUACCAGAAAGUCACGGCUAACUACGUGCCAGCAGCCGCAGUAACAC